rnacentral:rRNA from 1 species
AUGAAUGUUCUAAGCUGGAACUGCCGGGGAGGGGGGAAUACCCAGACAGUUUGCGAGUUGGCGACUAUUUCAUAGUCGCAUUCCCCCAAUUUGGUGUUUUUGUGUGAGACUAGACAAAAAGCUGAUAAGAUGAGGAGGAUUCGAGGUCGUCUUGGCCUAAAGGGUUUUAUAGGAGUGGACUGCAACGGGAUGAGUGGCGGCCUUGCUUUGUUUAGGAAUGACUCAUAUGUGGUGGAAAUAUUGGACAAGGAAGAGAGGUACAUUGAUGCCCUUGUACGUGUUCACGAGGGUGCAGCUCGAAGGAGAAUAACGUGUGUUUAUGGAGAGCCGAGAGUGGAGAAUCGGCAUGUCAUGUGGGAGAAGUUGCAGCACCUGAAAAAAAACCAAUGA